CUCGAUAAGGUAUCGCACCUUAUGCCUACAUAUCUUGUCUGGAACAAGAAUCAGAGCCACUGUAGUUCGGCUUACGCACGCCAAACAACACAAAACAUACAAACAAGCAAGAGUGGCAAACAUGGAGCCCGACAACCACUGGAUGGAAUUACGUCGGCAUCCGAACCAGAACACACUCAAAAGGGCAAACGUGGAGCCCGACUGCCAAUCACUGGGCUUACGUCGGCAUCCGAACCCAAAACACCAAACAGCACAGUCAGAUAACAAGUAAAC
rnacentral:lncRNA from 1 species